rnacentral:rRNA from 1 species
UACGGGGGGGGCAAGCGUUGUUCGGAAUCACUGGGCGUAAAGGGCUCGUAGGCGGCCAACUAAGUCGGAUGUGAAAUCCCCAGGCUUAACUUGGGAACUGCAUCCGAUACUGGAUGGCUUGAAUCCGGGAGAGGGAUGCGGAAUUCCAGGUGUAGCGGUGAAAUGCGUAGAUAUCUGGAGGAACACCGGUGGCGAAGGCGGCAUCCUGGACCGGCAUUGACGCUGAUGAGCGAAAGCCAGGGGAGCAAACGGG